CCUACGGGAGGCAGCAGUGGGGGAUAUUGCACAAUGGGGGGAACCCUGAUGCAGCGACGCCGCGUGGGUGAAGAAGCGCCUCGGCGCGUAAAGCCCUGUCAGCAGGGAAGAAAAUGACGGUACCUGAAGAAGAAGCCCCGGCUAACUACGGGCCAGCAGACGCGGUAAUACGUAGGGGGCAAGCGUUAUCCGGAUUUACUGGGUGGAAAGGGGGCGCAGACGGCGAUGCAAGCCAGGAGUGAAAGCCCGGGGCCCAACCCCGGGACUGCUCUUGGAACUGCGUGGCGGGAGUGCAGGAGGGGCAGGCAGAAUUCCUGGUGUAGCGGUGAAAUGCGUAGAUAUCAGGAGGAACACCGGUGGCGAAGGCGGCCUGCUGGACUGCAACUGACGUUGAGGCCCGAAAGCGUGGGGAGCAAACAGGAUUAGAUACCCCUGUAGUC
rnacentral:rRNA from 1 species